rnacentral:rRNA from 1 species
AGAGAGCUUGCUUUUUAAGCUUAGUGGCGAACGGGUGAGUAACGCGUGAGUAACCUGCCCUGGAGUGGGGGACAACAGUUGGAAACGACUGCUAAUACCGCAUAAGCCCACGGUACCGCAUGGUACUGAGGGAAAAGGAUUUAUUCGCUUUAGGAUGGACUCGCGUCCAAUUAGCUAGUUGGUGAGGUAACGGCCCACCAAGGCGACGAUUGGUAGCCGGACUGAGAGGUUGAACGGCCACAUUGGGACUGAGACACGGCCCAGACUCCUACGGGAGGCAGCAGUGGGGGAUAUUGCACAAUGGGGGAAACCCUGAUGCAGCGACGCCGCGUGGAGGAAGAAGGUUUUCGGAUUGUAAACUCCUGUCGUUAGGGACGAUAAUGACGGUACCUAACAAGAAAGCACCGGCUAACUACGUGCCAGCAGCCGCGGUAAAACGUAGGGUGCAAGCGUUGUCCGGAAUUACUGGGUGUAAAGGGAGCGCAGGCGGGAAGACAAGUUGGAAGUGAAAACCAUGGG